UCCGAGUUAACCCCGGCAGUCCCCCACGAGUCCCCACCAUCACGUGCUGGCAACAUAGGGCAAGGGUUGCGCUCGUUGCGGGACUUAACCCAACAUCUCACGACACGAGCUGACGACAACCAUGCACCACCUGCACACGACCAACUAAAUGCCACCACAUCUCUGCAGUGCCGCCGUGCAUGUCAAGCCUUGGUAAGGUUCUUCGCGUUGCAUCGAAUUAAUCCGCAUGCUCCGCCGCUUGUGCGGGCCCCCGUCAAUUCCUUUGAGUUUUAGCCUUGCGGCCGUACUCCCCAGGCGGGGCACUUAAAGCGUUAGCUACGGCGCAGAAACCACGGGUGGCCCCCACACCUAGUGCCCAACGUUUACAGCGUGGACUAC
rnacentral:misc_RNA from 1 species